rnacentral:rRNA from 1 species
AUACGUAGGUGGCGAGCGUUAUCCGGAAUUAUUGGGUGUAAAGGGUGCGUAGGUGGGAUAUAAAGUCAGAUGUGAAAUCUAAGGGCUUAACCCUUAAACUGCGUUUGAAACUUAUGUUCUUGAGUGGAGUAGAGGCAAGCGGAAUUCCUGGUGUAGCGGUGAAAUGCGUAGAUAUCAGGAGGAACACCGGUGGCGAAGGCGGCUUGCUGGGCUUUUACUGACGCUGAGGCACGAAAGUGUGGGGUAGC